GCCAAUGCUAGUCAUUUUCAGCAUCUCUACAAACACAUCUUUAUCAAUAUAAAUACAAAUCCAACAUUAAGUUUAUAAAAUGUCUAACUCUCUGCUCCCCCCCUUCCGUCUGCUUUGGUCUCUUCCGGAACCUUUAAAAGGUACUCAGGCCCCCGGGGAAUCUUUUAGCCUGAACACCCUGCAGAGGAAGAGAGAGGACAUAAUCAGUUCCAGCUGAGAUGCCACCGAAACCACCAUUAAUAAACCAUUUCAAUCA